UAGGGAAUUUUCCACAAUGGGCGAGAGCCUGAUGGAGCAACGCCGCGUGAUGGAUGAAGGCUUUCGGGUCGUAAACAUCUUUUCUCUGUGACGAAUAUGACGGUAGCAGAGGAAUAAGGAUCGGCUAACUACGUGCCAGCAGCCGCGGUCAUACGUAGGAUCCAAGCGUUAUCCGGAUUUACUGGGCGUAAAGAGUUGCGUAGGUGGCAGAGUAAGUAAAUAGUGAAAUCCUGGGGCUCAACCCCUUCAACAUUAUUUAAACUGCUCAGCUUGAGAACGAGAGAGGUAGAUGGAAUUCCCAGUGUAGGAGUGAAAUCCGUAGAUAUUGGGAGGAACACCGAUGGCGUAGGCAGUCUACUGGCUCGUUUCUGACACUAAGGCACGAAAGCGUGGGGAGCAA
rnacentral:rRNA from 1 species